UCAAAUCUCGGCCACGGCAUUUCGAUGGGGGCAAAAUGCAAAAGCACCCAUGUACUUACAUGCAUCUUGAAGAAGCCCAGGCGAUUAAAACUAAUCCAGAGUCACCCACUACGGCGUGCCUCAUAAUCUGAUUGUGGGUUUGGCACGUAAAGCCCCAUGUUUUUUUUUUAUAUAAAUGUAGAGUAUGACAUACGCUGACACUUUUGAAGUGAACUAUACACUCGGAGCCGUUGAAAUAAAGGAGAAUGAUGCUUAGGCAAA